AUUGGCUGAAAAUCACCUGUGGUUUUGUCCAUGACUGCGGGUGAGAUUCUGCGCCCAGAGUCACGGGGGCCUCCGUUCAUUGCCCACUCAGUGCAGGGAGGUGAAACCCAGGUGCCAACACAU